rnacentral:rRNA from 1 species
AGCUCCAAUAGCGUAUAUAAAUGUUGUUGCAGUUAAAAAGCUCGUAGUUGGAUAUUUGGCUUUUGUUUGACAGACGGCCCGCCUCUUUUCUGGGGUUGAGUGCUGGAAGUCCGAGCCUUUUUUCUGGUUUAUGUGAUUUUCCCUUUACUGUGGCGAGUCAUGUAGUCCGGAUCAGUUACCUUGAAUAAAUCCGAGUGUUCAACGCAGGCAUUGUUUGCCGUGAAGAUUGCAGCAUGGAAUAGCAACCAUAGGACGUUGGUGUCUUAUUUGUUGGUUCUGGGAUCCGCGUAAUGAUUGAUAGGGACCGUUGGGGGUGCUGCUAUUCCGCGGCCAGAGGUGAAAUUCUCAGAUUCCCGGAAGAGCAACUUAUGCGAAAGCAUUCACCAAGGAGGUUUUCU